GAGAGGAGAGAGGCUAAAAGGGAAGAGAGGAGAGAGGCAAAAGUAGAUAGGAGAGAGGAGAGAGGCUAAAGUAGAAAGGAGAGAGGAGAGAGGCUAAAGUAGAGAGGAGAGAGGCUAAAGUAGAGAGGAGAGAUGCUAAAGUAGAGAGGAGAAAGGCUAAAGUAGAGAGGAGAGAUGCUAAAGUAGAGAGGAGAGAGGCUAAAGUAGAGAGGAGAGAGGCUAAAGUAGAGAGGAGAGAGGAGAGAGGCUAAAGUAGAGAGGAGAGAGGCUAAAGUAGAGAGGAGAGAGGAUAGAUGAGAGAGAAGAGAUGCUAAAGUAGAGAGGAGAAAGGAGAGAGGCUAAAGUAGAGAGGAGAGAGGAGAGAGGCGAGAGGCUAAAGUAGAGAGGAGAGAGGAGAGAGGAGAGAGGAGAGAGGCUAAAGUAGAGAGGAGAGAGGAGAGAGGAGAGAGGAGAGAG
rnacentral:lncRNA from 1 species